CGAAGUUAGAUUUAUUACGUAUUAAUGAACUAUUAUUUACGUUGGCAUUUUAUGUUUUUGUUGAAACUAGUUUAAAUAGAAAUUUCCUUUCCUCCAAACUUGGUUUUUCUUCAUAUGAUAUAUUUAGAUGAGACCGCGACUAUAUGAAUUCCGGUGUUAGUUUAGGUAGUGGAGUUCUAAUUUGCGUAGAAAAAACAUUUCUUUUGAACGUCUAUUCGUACCGUCUAGCCCGGACUUUGAGCAUUUAUUUAUUUACGUCCGCAUUAAUAAUACAAAUGUUAUAU